rnacentral:rRNA from 1 species
UACGUAGGGACCAAGCGUUGUUCGGAUUUACUGGGCGUAAAGGGCGCGUAGGCGGCGUGUUAAGUCAGCUGUGAAAUCUCCAAGCUUAACUUGGAACGGUCAGCUGAUACUGAUGUGCUAGAGUGCAGAAGGGGCAAUCGGAAUUCUUGGUGUAGCGGUGAAAUGCGUAGAUAUCAAGAGGAACACCUGAGGUGAAGACAGGUUGCUGGGCUGACACUGACGCUGAGGCGCGAAAGCUAGGGUAGCAAACGGG